UGUGAAGUAAGGGCAGCCACAGGGAGUGGUCGUCUGCUGGAAGAGAGAGUAGAGACUAAACUGGGGGCAAGAGAAGGAGAGUGACUGCAAUAACAGAACGGGACCAAGGGCCCAGGACUGGACCCACAUGUCUGCUUAGAUGUACCUGUGUGUAUAUAUCUGUGCAGGUGUUCAGUACUGAAUACUCAAGAAAACCCGAAAAGGAGACUACCUGGACACAGCACUCGGAUAAAAACCCAGACCCAAAUCCAACCACCCAGAAGCUUGGCAGAGACCUCCCAUACCCGUCCUCCCUCCGCUCGGGUGUAACUUCCCUCCAGAACUCUAAACCCCAUAAAUCGGUUCUGCACGUUUUUGAGCUUUCCACAAAUGUCAUCGCACAGCGAGCCCUCUUGGACAUUACGCACAGCUGGCUCCCAUAUGGAAAGAUGUUCUGGGUCAGCUACUUGACAAGGUGUCGCCAACAUGUGGAAGUUGAUUCCCGUCCUCUUGGUAAAUUCGGUUCUAGAACGGACAGCCAGCAAUACCUCGUACCUGAAG